GCCUGGCUGGCUCAGUCAGUUGAGCGCCCGACUUCAGCUCAGGUCAUGGUCUCACAGUUCGUGAGUUCGAGCCCCGCGUCGGGCU
rnacentral:tRNA from 1 species